rnacentral:rRNA from 1 species
UACAGAGGUCUCGAGCGUUAGGCGGAAUCACUGGGCUUAAAGCGUGUGUGGGCGGAUCGUUAAGUACCUUGUGAAAUCCCACGGCUUAACCGUGGAACUGCUUGGUAUACUGGCGGUCUUGAGCCAGCUAGGGGCUACCGGAACAAAUGGUGGAGCGGUGAAAUGCGUAGAUAUCAUUUGGAACGCCAAUGGUGAAAACAGGUAGCUGGGGCUGUGCUGACGCUGAGACACGAAAGCCAGGGGAGCAAACGGG